AAGAGGGAUUAGUUUGGAGAUCCAAUAGGAUAUAAGGCAAAUGUCUUGAAAGUAAUAUGGGCUGAACGUAGUAAAAUAUGUGCCCACACUUUUCUUUUUUGGAAAGUUGUUCUUGCACUUUGAGAAAUUAUACCUCCACUUUGGGUAUACUUUUGAUCGCCAAAAUAUCCCAGCAACUUAAACUUUGGGGAUAAGUAUUUUUGAGAAAGAAAAUAUGGGCAACAACGUUAGCUUGUUCCAAACCAAAACAGCAACGUUAUUCAAUUUAAUUAUCUCACCGCUUCAAUCUCGUUGUUUCGUUUUGUCGUGUUGUUGACUCCGGGCUUUCUUCGUAAUGAAGUAAGGUGGAAGAAGAUUAUUUCUUGGCAUAUGAGGUUGAAGGGCUAAUUGAGGAAAAUUCGUUAUUAAGUGCGUAUCGGAGACAAGAGGUUCAGACAGGUUGACAGAAGGAUUGCACUGACGAGGUUUGCCGAGUAUCAGCUUGGAUUGAUGAACUCCACUUAUUUCUGGAGCAUUGCCGAGUCAGUAUGUCAUAUAUGUAUUUCAGGUUAUGGGUACGUCGGGGCACUGUCCUAACUUAUAUAUAUAUAUAUUACAGUUAUGUAUUCUUAGAGGCUUUGCAGACAGAGUCAUUCACACAGUGAGUCAUAUCAUGUCAGUUGUAAUGUUGGCCUCGUAGGCCCUUGUACUUAUACAUAUGUAUGCUUUUGGGCUGUUGGUUAUAGAAACGUAUGUUGGCCUAGAUGGCCCAGUGUUUGUUAUAUAUGAUAUCAUCAUGGCCUUGUUGGCCUUGUUUGUCUUUCGGGGCAUAGAUGAUACGAGUCAUAGUUGGUUUGCUCGGCCCUAAGUAAGUGUUGGGUGCCAAUCACGCC